rnacentral:rRNA from 1 species
UACGGAGGGGGCUAGCGUUGUUCGGAAUUACUGGGCGUAAAGAGCGCGCAGGCGGCUGGUCAAGUCCGAUGUGAAAUCUCCCGGCUCAACUGGGAAACUGCAUCGGAAACUGAUCGGCUUGAAGAUGGGAGAGGGUAGUGGAAUUCCCGGUGUAGUGGUGAAAUGCGUAGAUAUCGGGAGGAACACCAGUGGCGAAGGCGACUACCUGGCCCAUUCUUGACGCUGAGGCGCGAAAGCUAGGGGAGCGAACGGG